AUUGAACGCUGGCGGCAGGCCUAACACAUGCAAGUCGAGCGAGCGGAGGACGGGUGAGUAAUAUCUGGGAAACUGCCUGAUGGAGGGGGAUAACUACUGGAAACGGUAGCUAAUCCCGCAAACCAUCAGAUGUGCCCAUAUGUGAUUAGCUAGUAGGGGAGGUAACGGCUCACUAAGGCGACGAUCCCUAGCUGGUCGGAGAGGAAGACCAGCCAGACUGGAAUUGUGACACGGUCCAGACUCCUACGGGGUGCAUCAAUGGGGAACAUUGCACGAUGGGCGCAGGCCUGAUGCAGCCAUGCCGCGGGUGUGAAGAAGGCCUUUGGGUUGUAAAGCACUUUCAGCGGGGAGGCGUUACCCGCAGAAGAAGCACCGGCUAACUCCGUGCCAGCAGCCGCGGUAAUUC
rnacentral:rRNA from 1 species